rnacentral:rRNA from 1 species
CCUACGGGAGGCAGCAGUGGGGAAUUUUGGACAAUGGGGGCAACCCUGAUCCAGCCAUUCCGCGUGAGUGAAGAAGGCCUUCGGGUUGUAAAGCUCUUUCAGCAGGAACGAAACGGUACGCUCUAACAUAGCGUGCUAAUGACGGUACCUGCAGAAGAAGCACCGGCUAACUACGUGCCAGCAGCCGCGGUAAUACGUAGGGUGCGAGCGUUAAUCGGAAUUACUGGGCGUAAAGCGUGCGCAGGCGGAUUGUUAAGCAAGACGUGAAAUCCCCGGGCUUAACCUGGGAAUGGCGUUUUGAACUGGCAGUCUAGAGUGUGUCAGAGGGGGGUAGAAUUCCACGUGUAGCAGUGAAAUGCGUAGAGAUGUGGAGGAAUACCGAUGNCGAAGGCAGCCCCCUGGGAUAACACUGACGCUCAUGUACGAAAGCGUGGGUAGCAAACAGGAUUAGAUACCCUGGUAGUCCACGCCCUAAACGAUGUCAACUGGUUGUUGGGGGAGUGAAAUCCUUAGUAACGAAGCUAACGCGUGAAGUUGACCGCCUGGGGAGUACGGUCGCAAGAUUAAAACUCAAAGGAAUUGACGGGGACCCGCACAAGCGGUGGAUGAUGUGGAUUAAUUCGAU